UGAGAUAUGAUCCUUUAUUUACUGGUCAUAUUCUUCACAAUAUCCACAUAUUGCAACCAGUGACAAUCAUGCAGAUUCCAAUGUUUGUAAAAGAAAAGAAUCCGGCCUGUAUUCAGAGAUCUCAUGAAGAACAGUUUCCAGUAACAGUUUCCGUAAAGAUUCUAAAGUAUGUGAAGAGACAGAGAUUGUCAUACAACUAAAGGCUAAUAUUGCUAUGUGCAAGUGUGUGACACAUCCAGUGGAGAGUGAUAUAAAGAAAAACUUACCUUCAGAGCUCACUC